rnacentral:tRNA from 1 species
GGCACUGUAACUCAGAGGCCAGAGUGCCCGCCUGUCGAGCGGAAGACCGCGGGUUCGAAUCCCGUGAGCGUCGCGA